CAAGGCUGAAACUUAAAGAAAUUGACG
rnacentral:ncRNA from 4 species